GGAGGAAAGUAGGGGAUCGCAAGACCUUGCGCUAAAGGAGCGGCCGAUGUCUGAUUAGCUAGUUGGUGGGGUAAAGGCUUACCAAGGCAACGAUCAGUAGUUGGUCUGAGAGGACGACCAACCACACUGGGACUGAGACACGGCCCAGACUCCUACGGGAGGCAGCAGUGGGGAAUUUUGGACAAUGGGCGAAAGCCUGAUCCAGCCAUGCCGCGUGAGUGAAGAAGGCCUUCGGGUUGUAAAGCUCUUUUAGUCGGAAAGAAAGAGUUGCAAUGAAUAAUUGUGAUUUAUGACGGUACCGACAGAAAAAGCACCGGCUAACUACGUGCCAGCAGCCGCGGUAAUACGUAGGGUGCGAGCGUUAAUCGGAAUUACUGGGCGUAAAGGGUGCGCAGGCGGUCUUGCAAGUCAGAUGUGAAAGCCCCGGGCUUAACCUGGGAAUUGCGUUUGAAACUACAAGGCUAG
rnacentral:rRNA from 1 species